rnacentral:rRNA from 1 species
UAACAAGGUAGCUGUAGGUGAACCUGCUGCUGGAUCAUUAACGACUAUAAACAUCUAGUUCGUAACGGCUCCGUUGGUUUCUGCGUGUUGCUGAGCAAUCGUGUUGUCCGUGGUUGUGUUGAUGCAGCAUGAUACCCCACACAGAUGGGCAGAAUUAAAGAGCACUGGAUCGGGUGCCGCCAACAACAUUUUCAUUUUCAACAUUUUACACAGAAAAUAUUCUAGCCUUACCGGUGGAUCACUCGGUUCGUAGAUCGAUAAAGAACGCAGCCAAAUGCGAUAAUUGGUGUGAACUGCAGAUACAUUGAGCACUAAGAUUUCGAAUGCAUAUUGCGUCGUCGGAUUCCAUCCUUCGACAUGUCUGGUUCAGGGUCGUAAAUACAUAUUGUACAGUAGUGCAGUAAUAGCUCGAAUCACUAUGUGGCUCGAACAUGUUGAAACUUGGCGGUGUGGUGGGAGAUUUAAAAGCCUAUUUGAAUUACCACCGAUACACACAAUGCCUCUCAAUUCCGACCUGAGCUCAGACAUGGGCACCCGCUGAACUUAAGCAUAUCAGUA